rnacentral:tRNA from 1 species
GGGGAUGCAGCUCAGUGGUAGAGUGCUUGCUUAGCAUGCAGGAGGCCCUGAGUAUGAUUCCCAGCACCACAA